UACUAGAGUAGCACUCGCAUAUCAAUAAGCGGAGGAAAAGAAACUAACAAGGAUUCCCCUAGUAACGGCGAGUGAAGCGGGAAGAGCUCAAAUUUGAAAUCUUAAAGGGUUUCCCUUUACGAAUUGUAGUUUAAAGAAGUGUUUUCUGUUGAGGUUUUGGUAAAAGUUCUUUGGAAUAGGACAUCAUAGAGGGUGAGAAUCCCGUAUUUGACCUUUACUUUCAACUUUGUGAUACACUUUCAAAGAGUCGGAUUGUUUGGGAAUGCAGUCCAAAAUGGGUGGUAAAUUUCAUCUAAAGCUAAAUAUUGGCGAGAGACCGAUAGCGAACAAGUACCGUGAGGGAAAGAUGAAAAGGAACUUUGAAAAGAGAGUUAAACAGUACGUGAAAUUGUCAAAAGGGAAGCGUUUGACACCAGUGUUGUUUUUCUGAAAAUCAAUUAAAGAACUGUUUAUGCUAAGUUGUUUAGACUUUAUCAGCUAUCUGUUUAGUUUUGAGCUUUUCUUUAAUGCACUUUUCAGUUAACAAGUCAACAUCAAUUUCUUUUGCUGUAAAAAAGCUUGAGGAAGGUGGCUUGAGAUUCGUCUUAAGUGUUUAUAGCCUCUUGCCUAUGCAGUCGGAGAGAUUGAGGUCUGCAGCGUAGAUCCUUCGGGGCUAAAUGCAUUUGUGCUAAGUUAUAGCAUUUUAUAGACAACUUGUUGACUAUGAUUUGUCUUGUAGCUUACUCGCUUAUGUUAUUUUACCUACGCUUAGGAUGUUGAGCGCAUGUCUCUCUCU
rnacentral:rRNA from 1 species